CCGGCGCACGGGUGAGUAACACGUAUCCAACCUGCCGUCUACUCUUGGCCAGCCUUCUGAAAGGAAGAUUAAUCCAGGAUGGCAUCAUGAGUUCACAUGUCCGCAUGAUUAAAGGUAUUUUCCGGUAGACGAUGGGGAUGCGUUCCAUUAGAUAGUAGGCGGGGUAACGGCCCACCUAGUCAACGAUGGAUAGGGGUUCUGAGGGGAAGGUCCCCCACAUUGGAACUGAGACACGGUCCAA
rnacentral:rRNA from 1 species